UACCAGACUCCUACGGGAGGCAGCAGUGGGGAAUAUUGCACAAUGGGGGAAACCCUGAUGCAGCAACGCCGCGUGAGUGAAGAAGUCAUUCGUGAUGUAAAGCUCUAUCAGCAGGGAAGAAAAUGACGGUACCUGAGUAAGAAGCCCCGGCUAACUACGUGCCAGCAGCCGCGGUAAUACGUAGGGGGCAAGCGUUAUCCGGAAUUACUGGGUGUAAAGGGAGCGUAGACGGUGAUGCAAGUCUGGAGUGAAAGGCGGGGGCCCAACCCCCGGACUGCUCUGGAAACUGUAUGACUUGAGUGCAGGAGAGGUAAGCGGAAUUCCUAGUGUAGCGGUGAAAUGCGUAGAUAUCAGGAGGAACACCGGUGGCGAAGGCGGCCUGCUGGACUGCAACUGACGUUGAGGCCCGAAAGCGUGGGGAGCAAACAGGAUUAGAUACCCGAGUA
rnacentral:rRNA from 1 species